CUCGUAGGUGGCCAACUAAGUCAGACGUGAAAUCCCUCGGCUUAACCGGGGAACUGCGUCUGAUACUGGAUGGCUUGAGUUUGGGAGAGGGACGCGGAAUUCCAGGUGUAGCGGUGAAAUGCGUAGAUAUCUGGAGGAACACCGGUGGCGAAGGCGGCGUCCUGGACCAACACUGACACUGAUGAGCGAAAGCCAGGGGAGCAAACGGGAUUAGAUACCCCGGUAGUCCUGGCCCUAAACGAUGAAUGCUUGGUGUGGCGGGUAUCGAUCCCUGCCGUGCCGAAGCUAACGCAUUAAGCAUUCCGCCUGGGGAGUACGGUCGCAAGGCUGAA
rnacentral:rRNA from 1 species